GUAGUACUCCCUCCGUCCGGAAAUACUUGUCGGAGAAAUGCAUAAAAAUGAAUGUAUCUAGAACUAAAAUACAUCUAGAUACAUCCAUUUCUCCGACGAGUAUUUCUGGACGGAGGGAGUACAUG
rnacentral:pre_miRNA from 1 species